CCUACGGGUGGCAGCAGUGAGGAAUAUUGGUCAAUGGGCGGACGCCUGAACCAGCCAAGUAGCGUGCAGGAUGACGGCCCUACGGGUUGUAAACUGCUUUUAUACGGGAAUAACGCGCCUUACGUGUAGGGCUUUGCAUGUACCGUAUGAAUAAGGACCGGCUAAUUCCGUGCCAGCAGCCGCGGUAAUACGGAAGGUCAGGGCCUUAUCCGGCAUUAUUGGGGUUAAAGGGAGUGAUGGUCGCAUGUCAAAGGUGUUGUGAAAUGCCCGGGGUCAACCCUGGCCUUGCAGCGCGAACUGGCGUGCUUGAGUCCGCGGAAAGCAGGCGGAAUUCGUCGUGUAGCGGUGAAAUGCUUAGAUAUGACGAAGAACCCCGAUUGCGAAGGCAGCUUGCUGCAGCGGAACUGACGCUGAUGCUCGAAAGCGCGGGUAUCGAACAGGAUUAGAUACCCGAGUAGUC
rnacentral:rRNA from 1 species